rnacentral:rRNA from 1 species
CCUGGCGAACUGAAACAUCUUAGUAGCUAGAGGAAAAGAAAUCAAAAGUGAUUCCCGUAGUAGCGGCGAGCGAAAUGGGAGCAGCCUAAACCGUGAAAGUGGGGUUGUGGGAGAGCAAUACAAGCGUUGUGCUGCUAGGCGAAGCGGUUGAGUGCCGCACCCUAGAUGGCUAAAGUCCAGUAGCCGAAAGCAUCACUAGCUUAUGCUUUGACCCGAGUAGCAUGGGGCACGUGGAAUCCUGUGCGAAUCAGCAAGGACCACCUUGCAAGGCUAAAUACUCCUGGGUGAACGAUAGCGAAGUAGUACUGUGAGGGAAAGUUGAAAAGAACCCCCAGUGGCUAGUGAAAUAGAACAUGAACCCGUGCUGAGCUUCCAAGCAGUGGGAGGAGAAAGUGAUCUCUGACCGCGUGCCUGUUGAAGAAUGA